CAUACGGGAAUGAUGUUCUCCCUUGGGAAACCUAAACCGCUUAUCAGGCUGAUGACUUCUGCAAU
rnacentral:ncRNA from 1 species